AAUGGAACAGUCCUUCAGCCCCCGCGGAGAAAAGCAUUGGGUUUGAUGGGUCUCUCAAAAGAGCUUGUCCCGUAGGGGUGGCGUUUGGCCCCUUCAGGCCAGCCAGAGGCCCACCUGAGCAAGCAGGAAGCAGCCAGCAGGAGCGUGGUGUGGGCUUAAGAAGGAGUGCGUGUCCGGUGGGAUGUCCAGCGCUUCCCUCACGAUUCCUUCCAACGACGCCAGAAGGCGAAGGUCAUCAACCCCAUUCUAAACACUGGGAAGCUGGGGGCUCGGAGGGGACAGUUCGCUGCCCAGGAUGCCCCCGUGUGGGGUGUGUGUGGGACCUGCGGGGCAGAGGAGAGCCCCGGGCACGUGGGAGUUGGCGGUGGAGAAUCAGCCAGGGCUGGGGCCUCCUGGCAUGGGUGGGUGUGGGCGACUGAGUGAGAAGGAGGGCUCCCUAUGUCCCAGCAGGUGGCCACCAAGAGACCGAAGGGCACUGUGCUGAUGAAACCUGUGUGACUCGUUUCUACCUGGCCCAUUGGCUUUUCCACCUGUGAGCUCUGGAGCCCAAGCAGCCCAGGGGGCCAUUGCUCAGAGUGUCUUUCCAAGGCCUCCCCAGGGCUAGGAUCUUUGGGGCUGUUAUCCCUGAGCCUUUGCAAGUGUCACUCCAUCCCUCAGAUGGCCUUCCCUCCUCCCCACUAUGCCUGCUUUCACAAAUGUGGCACAAAUCUCAUCCCCUCCAGGAAGUCUUCUUUGAUUGUCCCCACCCACCGCCAUACCUACUCCCCAUCAUUAACACUUACAGAGCACUUGGCUUCUGCAGGUGGGUCCAGCUUUACAUAAUAUGAAAGUGCAGAUGCUCAGGACAGAUGCAUUAAGGGAACUGUUCUUCGCUUUAUAAAAGAUCUAGUACCUGCCUUUGUUAAAGGUUGACCAGGCGUUAGAAAAUAAUUUGAUGUGUGGAAACUAGAUUUAUGCUCAGACAACUAUUUCAGGCCUAAGAUGAAGGGCACUUGUGUUCAUAUUCAAUCAUUUACAUAUUUUUUCUUUUUUGAGGAAGAUUGGCCCUGAGCUAACAUCUGCUACCAAUCCUUCUCUUUUUUGCUGAGGAAGACUGGCCCUGAGCUAACAUCCGUGACCUUCUUCCUCUACUUUGUAUGUGGGACACAUGCCACAGCAUGCCAAGUAGUGGGUAGGUCCAUGCCCGGGAUCUGAACCGGUGAACCCCGGGCCGCCGAAGCUGAGCGUGUGGACUAACCGCUGCGCCACUGGGCUGGCCCUCAUGUUUUGUUUUUAUUAAAACAAGUUGAAAUCAUUCC
rnacentral:lncRNA from 1 species